rnacentral:misc_RNA from 1 species
AAGUCGUAACAAGGUUUCCGUAGGUGAACCUGCGGAAGGAUCAUUACCAAGGGAACUCCCAUCAUUGGGACCACUCUCUAACAACCUGUGUGUGAACCGUUACUGGGACUUGGUGUGGUGAUUUGUGGGUGUUCCGUCCACGGAACAUCUGGUCGCCGCACUGCUUUUGUACUUACUGCUCUCUGUAUACUUAACUGAAUGCCUUUUGUGAACUUGUGAAAACUUUUAGCAAUGGAUCUCUAGGCUCUU